GGUCCAGUAGCGGAUGGUCCGCACCCGCAUCCGAUAGGCAUGAACAAGAACUGAUUUCGCGGGGUCGCUCGUUCGACUCGAGCCUGGGCCA